rfam:Ictidomys tridecemlineatus contig035944, whole genome shotgun sequence.
AGGGGUGUAGCUCGGUGCUAGAGUAUAUACUUUGCAUGUAUAAGGCUUUGGGUUCAAGCCCCAGCAGCAAUA